rnacentral:lncRNA from 10 species
CUGGCACACAGCUGGAGGGAGCCUCCUGCCAGAGGAGCAGAGGCGGCUCACCCAACAAGGAGGGGCAAGGAGGGGCUUCAGUACUCGAAGCAGAUGCAGGGAUGAGCUGGCUCUGUGUCCACGGCUUCUGUUCUCUCAGCCAAAUAAGAAACCAGAUCAUCAGCUGGGAGUGGGGAUAAGGAGGGACUCUGUCAUUGAAAGGGGGGAACGGCAUGAGGCGGAGGUCCCAGAAGUGCCCAGUUGAAAGCCUUGGGUGUAACUUGGAGCAGAGCUGUCUCCCAGGCAGAUGAGGGGCCAGGGCAGGGAAAGCUUGGAGCUAAGCUGAGCUCUGGGUUUUUCCAGGAGCCUUGAGGGUGUGUGCAAAGGCAUGCUGAGAGUGCGGCGCCUUGCACUCUACGCCGUGUGGGUGUGGGGGUGUCAGUGUGCAGGAGUCAGGAGGAGCAGGGGCAGUAAGUAGGCUGCCGGGGUGGGCCAUGGGGGCCAGGAAUGGACAAUGAUGAAAUCACUGGUGAUGGCAAGUCUAAGGAGUCACCGUGCAAAGCAAGGACUGGCAGGAGGUGGGUGGAAACGCCUGUAAGUGCAGAAUCGUCCGUGUGUGGAGAGGUCUUGCAGUUGCCAGGAAUGAUGCCAGGAGAAGAGGUGAAGAAGCUGACCAUGGGAAUCUACGGUGACUGCAAGGGGAGCCAGGCCUUCGGUGGCAAAAUACAUGGAAGACAUUGACUCUUUCAAUAAGAUGGACUGCCCACUAUGUGCCAGGCACUGAACACGCAAAGACGAACCAGUCUCAACCCCUGCGGAUGAGGAGCUCAGCCUAAUGGGAAAGGCAGGUAUGUAGACCAAGGUUUCCCAGCCUCGGCUCUGUUGGCACCUGGGGCCAGAUGGGCCUGUGUGUGGGGCUGUCCUGUGCGUGGUAAGAUGUCUUCAGCAUCCUUUACACGCACCCAUGGGAGCAUGGCACCCACCUCUCCCCAAGUUGUGACAACCAAAAAUGUCUACAGAUGUUGCCAAAUGUUUUCUGAAGAACAAAAUCGCUACUCUCCCCUGUACUGAGAAACACUGAUAUAGACAAAUAUGUACAAUAUAGUGUAAUAAGUAUAGUAGUGGAGUUAUAUACAAACUGUGGUUGCUGCACA